AGACGUCUACAUUAGAUACCCGUGUAGUCCCAGCCGUAAACUAUGCGCGUUAGGUGUAUCGGUGACCACGAGUUACCGAGGUGCCGAAGGAAACCGUGAAACGUGCCGCCGUGGGAAGUACGGUCGCAAGGCUAGAAACUUAAAGGAAUUGGCGGGGAGCACCACAACGGGUGGAGCCUGCGGUUUAAUUGGACUCAACGCCGGGAAGCUCACCGGAUAAGACAGCGGAAUGAUUGCCGGGCUGAAGACUCUGCAUGACUAGCUG
rnacentral:rRNA from 1 species